GGCACGAUGCGUAGCCGACCUGAGAGGGUGAUCGGCCACACUGGGACUGAGACACGGCCCAGACUCCUACGGGAGGCGCAGUAGGGAAUCUUCCGCAAUGGACGAAAGUCUGACGGAGCAACGCCGCGUGAGUGAUGAAGGUUUUCGGAUCGUAAAACUCUGUUGUUAGGGAAGAACAAGUCCGUUCGAACAGGGCGGUGCCUUGACGGUACCUAACCAGAAAGCCACGGCUAACUACGUGCCAGCAGCCGCGGUAAUACGUAGGUGGCAAGCGUUGUCCGGAAUUAUUGGGCGUAAGCGCGCGCAGGCGGUUUCUUAAGUCUGAUGUGAAAGCCCCCGGCUCAACCGGGGAGGGUCAUUGGAAACUGGGGAACUUGAGUGCAGAAGAGGAGAGUGGAAUUCCACGUGUAGCGGUGAAAGCGUAGAGAUGUGGAGGAACACCAGUGGCGAAGGCGACUCUCUGGUCUGUAACUGACGCUGAGGCGCGAAAGCGUGGGGAGCGAACAGGAUUAGAUACCCUGGUAUCCACGCCGUAAACGAUGAGUGCUAAGUGUUAGAGGGUUUCCGCCCUUUAGUGCUGCAGCAAACGCAUUAAGCACUCCGCCUGGGGAGUACGGUCGCAAGACUGAAACUCAAAGGAAUUGACGGGGGCCCGCACAAGCGGUGGAGCAUGUGGUUAAUUCGAAGCAACGCGAAGAACCUUACCAGGUCUUGACAUCCUCUGCACCCCUAGAGAUAGGGCUUCCCCUUCGGGGGCAGAGUGACAGGUGGUGCAUGGUUGUCGUCAGCUCGUGUCGUGAGAUGUUGGGUUAAGUCCCGCAACGGCGCAACCCUUGAUCUUAGUUGCCACAU
rnacentral:rRNA from 1 species